rnacentral:rRNA from 1 species
UACGAAGGGGGCUAGCGUUGCUCGGAAUGACUGGGCGUAAAGAGUGUGUAGGCGGUGCUCCCAGUCUGUUGUGAAAUCUCCCGGCUUAACUGGGAGGGUGCAGCGGAAACUAGAGUGCUAGAGGGUGGGAGAGGUAAGCGGAAUUCCUGGUGUAGCGGUGAAAUGCGUAGAUAUCAGGAGGAACACCUGUGGUGUAGACAGCUUACUGGACCACUUCUGACGCUGGAGACACGAAAGCGUGGGUAGCAAACAGG